rnacentral:rRNA from 1 species
UACGUAGGGUGCAAGCGUUAUCCGGAUUCACUGGGUUUAAAGGGUGCGUAGGCGGGUAGGUAAGUCAGUGGUGAAAUCUUCGAGCUUAACUCGGAAACUGCCUUUGAUACUAUCUAUCUUGAAUGUUGUGGAGGUAAGCGGAAUAUGUCAUGUAGCGGUGAAAUGCUUAGAUAUGACAUAGAACACCGAUAGCGAAGGCAGCUUGCUACACAAUUAUUGACACUGAGGCUCGAAAGCGUGGGGAGCAAACAGG